UCAAAUAAUUAAGAACGAAAGAAUUAAUAUAUAAAUAUAAUUUUUGUUCAAUAAUAAAGAAAGAAGUUGUAGAAAAUGAUUAGUAUUUAUAGUGGGUUGAAACAUUAAUUUGGAAAAGUUUUUGUUACAUUAAUGUGAUGCAAAUUACAUAGAACUGAAUAUAGAUAGAAAACAUGUACUUAUGUUCCACUCGUCCAUUCUGGAUACAUAAGAACUGUGCUUCUUCACCAAUCAUUAUCAAACCUAAUUUUCACGAACACCCUCUCACCCUCAUCUAUUCUAAUCCACACAUACAUACAUAAUACAUACUUUGUACAAGUAAAUAGUUUUGCAAAUAUUUGUACAAAAUAUAUUUAAAGAUCUUGUUCUCAUAGAUUAAUUAGAUCUCACUUUAGACUUCUUCAAAAAGUAUUAGCAAUGGAUGAUUAAGUCAUCAUGGCACUGCAAAAUACAAACAAACAAUUAGAUCUGUUUGAUUAAUUGAUUAGCAACUCUAAAACAAGUUUUUUUUGCCAGAUCUAAACCAAAACAACACAAUCUUCUUAACAUCAUUUUUAGAAAUAAAUUCCUAAAAAAAGCAAGUAAUUAAGAAAUGGAAAAUAGAAAAUUUUGAACUCACCAGAGGUGAAAAUAUGUAUGGAGUUGAAUAGAUGAGCGCGAAAGGAUGAUCGUGAUAACUGGGUUUGACUGAUGAUCGAUGAAGAAAAACAUUUCUUAUGGAUCCGGAAUGGACAUGUGGUACAUAAAUAAACAAACUUACAAACUAGUUAAAUUUGUUGCUCCAAUCUCUAUUCCCUAAUGUAACUCUACCAUCAUAUCAUAUAUACAACAAGAUUUGCCUAUUAAUAUAUAUAUUUUUUGGUAAUAUAAAAAAUAUUAAAAAGAAAAACUUAACAUAUUCCCGAACGAGUAUCCUCACUAAAUGAAGAUCAUUGGAUGCCCAUGGCUACUCUCUCUCUCUCUCUCUCUCUCUUCGUAUUAGAGAAAUAUGAAGAUCAUAGAUCUAUACAUAUAUAGGGGGAAGAAUAUAUAUACAUAUAUAUAAUAUAUAGAGAGAGAGAGAGGGGGGAGAGGGAGAUGUCUAGAGAUAGAUUUACAAUUCUAUGUAUAGACAGAGAGCGGAAUAUAGUAUUACAACUGAUAUUUUUAUAUAAAAAAUUGAUAUGCGACAAAACUCA
rnacentral:lncRNA from 1 species